rnacentral:rRNA from 1 species
GACGAACGCUGGCGGCGUGCCUAACACAUGCAAGUCGAACGGAUUUGUGAGGUGUGAGGUUAGAGGUUAGAGGUGAGAAAUUCUAAGGAAGAAAUCGGCGCAGGCCGAUUUCAACAAGAUUCUCACAUCCAACUUCUCACCUCGCACUUCGCAAAUUAGUGGCGGACGGGUGAGUAACGCGUGGAUGACCUACCUAUAUGUGGGGGAUAACAGUUGGAAACGACUGCUAAUACCGCAUGUGAUCACAAUUAUAAAGGUUGUGAGGAAAGAUGGCCUCUGUUUACAAGCUGUCGCAUAUAGAUGGGUCCGCGUCUGAUUAGCUAGUUGGUAGGGUAAAGGCCUACCAAGGCGACGAUCAGUAGCCGGCCUGAGAGGGUGGACGGCCACACUGGGACUGAGACACGGCCCAGACUCCUACGGGAGGCAGCAGGUGGGGAAUAGUUGCGCAAGUGGGGGAAACCCUGGACGCAGCGACGCCGCGUGGCGAAGAAGGCCUUUA